CCCAAAGGGAACUGAGGCAUUUAUCCACCAGCCCCCAUCAGCCAUUGGCUGAGGGCUGCUCCAGGGCUGGGACCAGGACUCCUUACAUCUUGUACACUGGACACCUUACUCGCCCCACCCUAGUCCCAGGCCCAGCUGCUCCUUGGUGCCACUGACUCCCUGACACUCUGGCCUGCUGUACCUAUGGACACAGAGGACCCUUUCAACCAAAACCUCCCGCCAAAAUUCAAGUCUCAGCCACAUGCCCAGCCCUACACCAAUCACUAAGCCAGGGGCUGUGAUGCUCUCAUUGGCCAGGCCCCAGUCACAUGCCCAGGCUAUGCCAAUCACUGGCCCUGGCAGCUGUGACGCACUCAUGGGCGGGCCCGCGUCGUGGCGGGGAGAGGAGUCUCCAGACGGAAGUGGGGUGCUGUUCUGAGAGAAAGAAGCAGCUUGGUGCUGGAUGAGAACCCGUGAACACCGAGGCUUCCCUCUGCCUCUCUGCUGACUGGUCCCUUAGCUCUGGGACGACUGAGAAGAGAACCCUGUUGACCAGGAAGGGCAGCCUUGGGAACCUAGCAAAAUGGGAAGGUCCGGGAAAUAUGGUAGACCAGGCAAGGAAAGACCGAGACUGGAAUGGCCAAACACCACACUAAGUGCUUUGAGGGAGACCGAGAUAAGCGUGCCGCAGCCCCCCACCCCACUCCCCUCUUGGGAGGAGAAAUCAGCCACAGGCAGAAGGACGAACACAGAAGGAAGCCCUGCCUACCAGGAGACAGAAUGUCAACCCUCUCCUCUUCCAGGCAACAAAAAGAGGCAGGCGGCUGCGGCAGCCCCACCUAUGACCCUGAGCAACCCUGGAAGCUGCGCUGUCGACAGCCUGUCACAGCAAAUCACCUCAGGCCACUACAUCCCCAGAGAGCUGCCCACCGAACCAGCGUCAGCCCCCUCGGGGCCUCUCCCAGCGGCACUAACAGGCUGGCGCCAGGCUGCACAGGGCUGGUUCUGCC
rnacentral:lncRNA from 1 species